UGAAGUCUAGUGUGGUUUUAGUGGGUCAUGCUCUGAUAGAUGUAACAUCGGGACGGGAUGUUUUAAUUGUUGAAUAAAUGUUAAUUUUAAGAUAUUACAGAUGUUGAAUGUUUCUAUCCGCUGUGAAUUUUUAAAGAAGUGUUUAUGUUGAAUUAAAUAAUGAGCAUGACUGAUUUUAUGGUGAAUUUUGUGAAGAAGUUGUUAUGUGACACCCUUGAGUUGCAAUAUUUACUCUGAUAUG
rnacentral:lncRNA from 1 species